rnacentral:lncRNA from 1 species
GUAUCUGACUCAGGACCUGAUUUAAGGUUUGGGGUUUUUUGGCCCUUUGUUUCUUCCUCUUGUUUUUUGACCUUUAGUUACUCCACACCUCAUUAGUUCCUUGACCUGCAGGUGGACUGAGAAGAGAGCCAUGGUAGCAGGCAAGAGUGUGGUUAUCGUUGGACCAGGAUUCAGGAUCUGACUGAGUAGCUGACUCUUAAUCCAGUUUGUGUUGAUCACCAGGAGGAUCUGGACCUCAGUAUUACCACAUCUAGAGCUAUAAUCACAUCCCUGUUAAGCCUUCCUGAGAUCACACCAAAUGUCCUUGAUGGGAAUUGUAAACAACCCUUACUUCUGGUUUCUAAUGAUAUUCCAGGAAAGGAGCCUAACUAGAGUCAGUGAGUAUUCAUGCACUUCAAACCCUGUGACAUAAUAAGAUUUGAUUUUUAAGAAAACAACUUGAGAGGAUGGAUUCAGAAAAGAGGCAGAUCCAAGGGAGAGUCUAAACUGGAGAGCAGUGGCAAUGAACAGGAGGAGGCCAUAUCGAGAGAUGAAUUGAUCAUCUUAUAGACCUGGAGGUCAGAAAUCUAAAAUCAAAGUGUGGGCUGUGUUCCUUCUGGAGGAUCGAGGGGAGAAUCCAUUUCCUUGCCCUUUUCAGCCUCUAGAUGCCACCUGCAUUCCUUGGCUUAUAGUCCCUUUCUCUAUGUUUAAGGCCAACUGCAUAGCAUCUUCCCCCAUUUCUUUGUAACUUCUGCUUCAUGGUGAUGGGGACAUCUCUCUCUCUGAUCGUAGGAAUUGAUUUAGAUGCUUUUCUAGCCAUAUGUAUUAUGAACUAAAUGCAGUUGAAUUACUUAUGGGAGGAAAUGGCAGGUGACCUCAUUACUUGUCAAAUCAUCGUUAGAUAACUGACUUGACUGUUAAGAUUGCUGAAGCAGUGAUUUAUUACCUCAGCUAAAUCUGUAUCAAUCUGGUGACCCGUGUAACUGAAACCAAGAUGUUAACACUGUAAGAAAACCUAGCUUAUGUUUGCAGCUCCUGAGAAUAAAUCCCUUUAUCUUGAAAUACCUGGAAAUCCCUUUUUAAUGUCCAGUGGAGUCAUAUUGCCAAGUUUGAGAAAUGUGUCUAGACCAGUAUUUCCCAAACAGCCCACCAGACAACACCAGCCUGUAAGAUGGUGAUAUUGUUUGGAUGUUUUUUCCCUCCAAAUUUCGUGUUGAAAUGUGACCGCCAUGUUGGAGUUGGACCUAGUGGAAGGUAUUUGGGUGAUGGGGAAUCUCUUGUGUGGCUAUGUACCUUCCCUGCAGUAAUGAGUUCAUGAAAGAUCUGGAUGUUUAAAAGAGUCUGUGAUCUUCCUCCUCUCUCUCUUGCUCCUGUUCUUGCCAGGUGAUAUGCCAACUCCACCUUUGCCUUCCACCAUGUUUGGAAGCUCCCUGAGGCCUCACCAGGAGCAGAUGCUCGUCCCAUGCUUCCUAUAAGCCUGCAGAACUGUGAGCCAUAAUAAACUGUGAAUUAUAAAUUGCCUUUAUAGCAAUGCAAAUGGACCAGUACAGAUGGGAUGCUGGGAAGACAGUUGUUUCCACCUUCAGUAAAGUCCGUGGAACACAGUUGUGACUAUAUUCUAGGCCAGCCAAGAUGCUUGUACUCAGAAAGGAGUGGUCUCAGGACCAUAAGAAAGUGAAAAAAUAAAAAUAAGAAAAUAAAGAAGGGAUUGUCAAUGAAUCAGAAUUCAUCAAGGUCAAAGUCUUAGGAAAUUCCUUCAUGAGGAAGUCUAGGGGGGCUAUGGAAAUGAAAUUUUUAAACAAAUAGGUAUGUGGUGCUGGCAGGAAUAAAUUAUGGACUUAUGAAUAUAACAUAAGAUUCUUUAUUACCUGGUCUCACCCGUCUUUCCACCUCUGCCCCCCUUCUUGCCCGACUCUGUGUAUCACCCAUAAUAAACUACUUACAGCUUCCUAGUGUUAAAUUUACCCUAAAGCUGCCUCCUUCAAUAUUUUAAGUUUAACCUAAAGGUUCUUCAUACAUAGUGAACUAUAACCCAAUGAUUAAACAGAUUGUAACCUACUCUUGUACCAGUCACCAAGUUUCAGCCAAUCAGAGGUGGCCAACUGUUCAAACCAUGCUCAAAUAAGGGAAAUGUCAUGGUGUAACUAAUCCAGCUGUUUCUAUACCUUACUUCUGUUUUCUUAGGUCACUUUCCUUUUUUGUCCAUAAAUUCUCUCCAACCACUCAGCAGCACUGGAGUCACUCCAAAGCUAUCCUGGUUCAGGGGUCUGUCUGAUUCACAAGUCAUUCUUUGUUCAAUUGAGCUCUGCUAAAUUUAAUUUGUCUGAAGUUUUUCUUUUAACAGAUGGUGUCAGAAAUGGACCCCAAAGUAGAGCUCCCAGUGAUCCCCCAGGAGCACUGAGUGACCACAAGGGGUACCUGCUGGGCCCGUCCUCUCGCAGUGUCCACUGCUCUCUUACAGCAACUGGAGAUUGUGGCUGCAUUCUCUCUCAGAUUCUGAAGCUCCAUACAUUGCCGUUUUCAGCUGUUCAAGCUUGCUUGAGCAAAUUUUUGAUCUUAGCUGAGUUUGGAAGUCGAUAGACAUUGGACUGGGUCCAGGAUUUGAUUGGAUCUGAUAAUUAACUGGCUUGGAUCCAGUUAGAUGCCUCGGUUAUCUGACUGGGUCAGAUAGAAACCGCCAGUAAAUAUUUUAAUAACAAUACUGCAGGGGUAUGAACUCUGGCUUUAAGAAACUCACAAGGAAUUUUAUGUUCUAUACCCUUUGUUUCUUUUUCUUGUGUGCUUCGGUCAGGAAAAAUCAUUAGUCAAGUUAAUCAAGGGGAUCUGAGAGCCAAAUACAAGAUUCAACGUAAAAAUGGAAUCCUUGGGCUAGGCGUGGUGGCUCAGGCCUGUAAUCCCAGGACUUUGGGAGGCUGAGGCAGGCGGAUCACCUGACCUUAGGAGUUCGAGACCAGUCUGGCCAACAUGGUGAAACCCCGUCUCCACUAAAAAUACAAAAAUUAGCCAGGCGUGGUGGUGGGCACCUGUAAUCCCAGCUACUUUGGAGGCUGAGGCAGGAUAAUCACUUGAACCCAGGAGGCAGAGGUUGCAGUGAUCUGAGAUUGCACCACUGCACUCCAGCCUGGGCAAAAGAGCGAGACUCCAUCUCAUAAAUAAAUACAUAAAUAAAUAAAGAAAUCCUUAAUUUCUGCGGAACUGAGUGCUCUACCUUCUGGCUACACCUACGUAUACCUGUAUGAGGUAUAGGCCCUGGAAGCAGCAAACACUUACAGAAAUGGUGAAAUCUUACUAAAGGUAAUCUAAAGUUAUGGUGGAACAUCCCAAAUGAACAACACUGCACUUUAGGAAGUACAUAUAAAAAUGAAGUCUCCCAAUUUAGUAUUAUUCAGGGAUGGCUGUUGAAGUUCAGAAGCUUCUAAAAAGAUUCCAAUAAUUUUACAGAUUCUUUUAAAAGAUUCUUUGUAAAAGGCAAAUAAAAAGCUUAAGUGACUAAUCAGAAAAAUUAGGUCUUCUAACCUUUUGUCAUUGUUACUGUCUUGCCCUGAAAGGGAAAAGAAAGCUGGAUAAAGUAUUUAUAGAAGAUAGAGGACCUGUGGUGGCUCAUGCCUGUAAUCCAAGGUGGAAGGAUUGCUUGAGGCCAGAAGUUCAAGACCAGUCCAAGCAACAUAGCAAGGCCCCAUCUCUACAAAAAAUGAAAAUAAAAUUAGCCGAGCGUGAUGGCUCAUGCCUGUAGUUCUAGCUUCUAGAGAGGCUGAGGCAGGAGGAUUGCUUGAGUCCAGGAGUUCAAGAUUACAGUGAGCUAUGGUCACACCACUGCACUCCAGCCUGGGUGAUGGAGUGAGACUGUCUCAAUAAAAAGACAAAAAGGCUGGCCAGGGGCAGUGGUUCAUGCCUGUAAACCCAGCACUUUGGGAGGCAAAGGCAGGAGGAUUGCUUAAGCCCAGGAAUUUGAGAUCAGCCUGGACAACAUGGUGAGACCCCCAUCUCUACAAAAAUUUUUUUUAAAAGUUACCCAGGCAUGGUGUUGCACAUCUGUGUUCCCAGCUACUGGGGAGGCUGAGACGGGAGGAUCACUUGAGUCCAGGAAGUUGAGAGGUUGAGGCUGCUGUGAGCUGUGAUUGUGCCACUGCACUUUAGCCUGGACAACAGAGGGAGACCCUGUCAACAACAACAACAACAACAAAAAAGCAAAACAUCAUAGGCUGCAGAAAUAAACUUUCUUGUCAAUUGUGUCUUUAACCAUGACCAUUUUGAGUCAUUUCCACAGUGAGUUGCCUAAUUUUGAUGCAUUUCUGAAAACUCUUUAUAAGCAAGUAAAAUCCUAGAGAAUUGUGCCUUCAAGGAGACUCAUGGAAAGGAUGGAAAGAACUCUUGAAUACAUGUUUCUGAUAGCUUUAUGAUCAUAUCAUUUGGACUGGGUAAGAAUUCCCAGAACUCAUGAAGAGACUGACUAUUUAUUAAUCCAAGCAGGAAAAGAAUUAAUUGAAUACCAAGGAAAUACUGUGCCAGAGAUUUUCAUGCUAAAUCAGUCAGCACCGAAAUCGUUAAGAUGUGUAGUUUGAAUGAACUCCAUGAUCCUAGUCAAAUUUCCUAUGAUGACCCAUUUAAUAAACAGUGCUAUGCACCUGAAUUGGAGAAACAGAAUUGAUACUUAAAUCCAAUGUUAAUCAUAGAUUCAUGGAAAGCCUAAAUGGCUGCUUGGGUCUUCCUGAGCCCUUAAAGCUUCCAUUAUUAAAGGCUCUGCACUUUAUAAGUUAUCACUGAAGAGAGAAAAUGAUCCAGAUUUAAAAUACACAUAUUGGUGUGGUGAAUGUUCUAAAUUGCGAAAAUGGUUUAUGACCAACAUUUGGUUUGUCAUGCUCACAAUCCUGGAAAUACAUUCAAAACUUCAGGUACAUUUCUGCUACCUGAUGGGCUAUUUGAAUAUAUAGAGAGGGAUUUCAUUCAAUUGCCAUUUUCAUUGCAUGUUUUUUGGUUGUAUAGAAGCUUUCCCAUGCAAGGAGGCUGAUGCUGUUAUUACAGUAGCUAAAAGGUUAGUAGGAAAUGUGUUUUCCCCCAUGGGGCAUUCCUGGAGAAAUCUCUAGCAAUAAAGGUACUUGUUUGACUGGACAAGUUGUAAAACAGUUUAAUAAGGUUUUUUUUAGGUGUCAUAGCAUUAGGCAAAGCUAACUGAAUUGACUGGAUUGUCAUAGUCAAACAUAUUGCAGAUCCGCUUCCAAUAGAAGACAAUGAAAUAGUCACUGGAAAGCCUGUGCUCCUAAUUUUAGAACCUCAUGUAUCUUCUGCUCCUAAACUCUGAUAGGACUAAAUGCUGUGAGGCCUCAAUGCAUUAUGUUAAUGUGUAUUUUCACCAGGUCAAGGAAGCUUUUCCUGAUCCACUAACUAAGGACAAUCAAACCCUUCAUGAUCUAGAAUCUGGAGACUGUGUCUUCUGGGAAUAGUAUCAGAGAAAGACUGCCCUUACUGCCCACAUGUAGCAAAACUUUGAGACGUUGAAUUAUGGGUCCAUAAUCUCACAACUCAGAGGGGCACCUCUAGACUCUUGGAACUGUAUAUCUAUUGGAGACUUUAAGGUAAAGCUGAACAGAGAGACGUUUUUCUCCAGAAGCAGACAGCACCAUAGUCAUGGACAGCUUUCCCAAGAUCACAGAUCAAGACUUCUCUGCCGUCAUGAGACUCAUAACCUCUUAAUUUUUUCUUGCUUAUGCUUCUGUGAACAAUAGAAUUGGAAAAGGGGUGGUCCCGCGUGCACCCAUAGGGUAUACUUUUAUUUGUGGAGGAUUUUGCUGCCAACCUUAUACAUGGGCAAACUUAUGCCUUCAUGGAUGGAAGAUAAAGGGCUAAUAUGGGUUAGAAAUUUUAAUGGUACCUUUGUUUCUCCAUAAUCAUUCAGAAACAGAACACUGGUCCACUCUUGUUAACCUACAUCAUAGGUUGAAGAGAACAUUGCCAGGAGGCCUUCAUCCUUCCAGAUGGGCACCAUUUGUUGGGUCUUUUUCCGUGGUAUGAAGAAAAUGAAGCAAUGAUUAGAAAUUGGUCCCUCGGCCGGGCACAAUGGCUCAUGCCUGUAAUCCCAUCACUUUGGCAGGCCGAGGCGGGUGGAUCACCUGAGGUCAGGAGUUUGAGACCAGCCUGACCAAUGUGGUGAAACGCCAUCUCUACUAAAAAUACAAAAAUUAGCUGGGUGUGAUGGUGCACACCUGUAAUCCAGCUACUCGGGAGGCUGAGACAGGAGAAUUGCUUGAACCUGGGAGGCAGAGGUUGCAGUGAGCCAAGAUCACCCCACUGCAUUCCAGGUUGGGCAACAGAGCAAGACUCUGUCUCAAAAAAAAAAGAAGAAAGAAAGAAAUUGAUCCCUCAUAAUAGGCUGUAUAGCAGAUUCUACUGCAAAGGCUAUGGUUGCACAACAGACUUCUUUGAAUUUGCUUGCUAAACUUUUACUGGAUAAUACUGGGAUUACAGGUGUGAGCCACUGUGCCCAGCCUCUCCUGUUUAACUGUAUUCAUUCUAAUGUUUACUUACUUCUUUAAUUUGUAAAAUUGGGUCACUUAGAGUUUUUUUAGCCUAUCUUGCCAUUUAGCCACUGUUACUGAUAAUUUGGAUGGAAAAGAAAAAUAAAUUAUAUCACCUCUCA